CACUGCCUCCCUCCCCUAGGAGCUCACCCACAAACCCUCAAAGGGACCCCCUCUCUCUCCUCCCUUCUGCCUGCCCUCUCUCACCCCCCAUUAAAAAUACAGUGCUUGCAUCAGCAUGAUGAACAGAAGCAUUUGACCAUAAGUCAUCAGCAUUUCUAAAAUAGGAAGUGACUUAUAAUUAGCAAGUUACCUCUGACUCAGAAGACAGGCACAGAGACAGGGAGAUGCCGCCGGUGGGAGGACAGCCAGGGCCCAGGAGAGCAGGGCUCCCGUCUGGAGGACGGGGCCCUGUGAAGCCUGCACACGAUUUUACAUUGAGGGGUGUAUGUUAUUUUUCUGAAGAGGGCCCAAUCGGUCGCUUUCUUCAGAGUCUCAGAGAAAUUGAUGACUUUCCAAAAAGGCAAAGAAUGCAGGCAAAAGAGGGCGGAACCGUGAGACUUGGUGGGAACCGGCUGUGCCUCGGCCUGCCCUUCACUCCCGGGGCUGCAGGAUGUUGCCUUCACCCCACAGGGGUGUGACCCCACCUCAUCCAAAAGGACCUCGUCAGACCUCAUCCCUGCCCUCUUCCUCCCACGCCUGGGGGGGCGGGGGGGGGGGGGGGGCGUUAUCGUCCUCCUACCACCUCUGGACUUCUCUCCUCCUACAUCCGAACUUCCAAAAUGCCUCUCGAAUGCACGCCUUCCCUGUGCCUGUGCUGAGCCGGGCCCCAGGCUCCUCCUGUCCGUCCCCCUCAGUCCCCCUCUGCUGUGCCCUGUUUCCCGUGCCUGUUGACGCUCUCCUCUAGUUAAACUCCCAAUGGCUUUCAGCUGCGCCCAGAGCUCGGAGCAACAACCAGGAGACGCAGGAGAAGAAUGGGCAACCUCUGAGCUCCUCGUGCCGGUGCUUGAUGUGUCUUUUCCAGCUCUGACGUCACUAACAUCAAGGAUCAUGAUACAGCAAACUUAGAAUCAGACAUGGAAUGGCUUUAUCACAAAGUGACAGAUGAUGAUUUUUUUAAAUAUAAUGAAGCAUAUUUAUUAAUUUUAUUGUUCCUUGUUGAGAGCAAAAGAUGCUUUCACCAUUAAUAAAAAU
rnacentral:lncRNA from 1 species